UUGGGGAAACCAAGUUGCAUCAAGUUCAAGGAACAGGUCUCCACUUGCACGGUGUCUGUAGCAGAACCAGGACCAGAAUUUUUGAUCUUUGACUGUUGCUCUAGAUGCUCAACUACUUUGUACUCUGUGCUUUGUUUGGGUGGAAGGAGACUUGCCUGAAACCUGGCACGGAUCUCUACUGAUUAGAAGCUGCUACUCUGACAGUUAUUUAAUGUUUCAGAAGCAAGGAGCUGGUGGGAAAAACUCUGCCAUUUGGUACAGAAGAAGGUUUGUUCCUCCAUUAGUUAAGGAUUUUGUGGCACCUGGCUUGGAUUCAGCCAACCGGACAAAGAGGAAACAGACCUCACAUCUUGACCUUUCUCCUGCACCCAGGCAAUGCUUCAGAUGGAGGACGAUGUGGAUGGCACUGGAUUUCGUGGCAGAAGGAAAGAGUGCAGGAGACUACUCCCCAGUUCACUUGAUUUUUACCUGAUGAUUUACAAGAUAAAAGGAAGAGCCAGCACAUGAAAUUUUAAACCAAGA
rnacentral:lncRNA from 1 species